GUGAGGAAUAUUGGUCAAUGGGCGAGAGCCUGAACCAGCCAAAUCGCGUGCAGGAUGACUGCCUUAUGGGUUGUAAACUGCUUUUGUAAAGGAAUAACAAUUGCUACGUGUAGCAGGAUGAAUGUACUUUAAGAAUAAGGAUCGGCUAACUCUGUGCCAGCAGCCGCGGUAAUACGGAGGAUCCAAGCGUUAUCCGGAUUUAUUGGGUUUAAAGGGUGCGUAGGCGGUAGCUUAAGUCAGUGGUGAAAGUUUGCAGCUCAACUGUAAAAUUGCAAUUGGAACUGGGUUACUUGAGUACGGUAGAGGUAAGAGGAAUGCGUAGUGUAGCGGUGAAAUGCUUAGAUAUUACGCAGAACCCCAAUUGCGAAGGCAGCUUACUGGACCGGUUACUGACGCUGAGGCACGAAAGCGUGGGUAUCAAACAGGAUUAGAAACCCUGGUAGUCC
rnacentral:rRNA from 1 species